UCCCCGUUCUCCUGGGCAGUCUCUCCAGAGUUCUCGGCUUGACCCGUUAGUAACUGAAGACAGGGGUUGCGCUCGUUGCGGGUUCAUUGCCGUUUCCGGUUCUUAAAACCAGCAUGUCAAGCCUGGGUAAGGUUCUUCGCGUUGCGUCGAAUUAAACCACAUGCACCACCGCUUGUGCGGGCCCCCGUCAAUUCCUUUGAGUUUCAACCUUGCGGCCGUACUCCCCAGGCGGGAUACUUACUCCGUUAGGUGCGGCACCGGCGGUAACCCGCCGACACUUAGUAUCCAUCGUUUAGGGCGUGGACUAC
rnacentral:misc_RNA from 1 species